UACGAAGGGGGCUAGCGUUGCUCGGAAUUACUGGGCGUAAAGGGAGCGUAGGCGGAUAGUUCAGUCAGAGGUGAAAGCCCAGGGCUCAACCUUGGAAUUGCCUUUGAUACUGGCUGUCUUGAGUAUGGGAGAGGUUAGCGGAACUCCGAGUGUAGAGGUGAAAUUCGUAGAUAUCGGGAGGAACACCGGUGGCGAAGGCGGCGACCUGGGUCGACACUGACGCUGAGGCGCGAAAGCCAGGGGAGCAAACGGG
rnacentral:rRNA from 1 species